CCUACGGGCGGCAGCAGUGGGGAAUAUUGGACAAUGGGGGGAACCCUGAUCCAGCGACGCCGCGUGAGUGAAGAAGUAUUUCGGUAUGUAAAGCUCUAUCAGCAGGGAAGAAAGAAAUGACGGUACCUGACUAAGAAGCCCCGGCUAACUACGUGCCAGCAGCAGCGGUAAUACGUAGGGGGCAAGCGUUAUCCGGAUUUACUGGGUGUAAGGGGAGCGUAGACGGCGAUGCAAGUCUGAAGUGAAAGGCGGGGGGCCAACCUCCGGACUGCUUUGGAAACUGUAUGGCUGGAGUGCAGGAGAGGUAAGUGGAAUUCCUAGUGUAGCGGUGAAAUGCGUAGAUAUUAGGAGGAACACCAGUGGCGAAGGCGGCUUACUGGACUGUAACGGACGUUGAGGCUCGAAAGCGUGGGGAGCAAACAGGAUUAGAUACCCUUGUAGUC
rnacentral:rRNA from 1 species